GACGAACGCUGGCGGCGUGCCUAAUACAUGCAAGUCGAGCGAAUCAAUGGGAGCUUGCUCCCUGAGAUUAGCGGCGGACGGGUGAGUAACACGUGGGUAACCUGCCUGUAAGACUGGGAUAACUUCGGGAAACCGGAGCUAAUACCGGAUACGUUCUUUUCUCGCAUGAGAAGAGAUGGAAAGAUGGUUUCGGCUAUCACUUACAGAUGGACCCGCGGCGCAUUAGCUAGUUGGUGAGGUAACGGCUCACCAAGGCGACGAUGCGUAGCCGACCUGAGAGGGUGAUCGGCCACACUGGGACUGAGACACGGCCCAGACUCCUACGGGAGGCAGCAGUAGGGAAUCUUCCGCAAUGGACGAAAGUCUGACGGAGCAACGCCGCGUGAGCGAAGAAGGCCUUCGGGUCGUAAAGCUCUGUUGUUAGGGAAGAACAAGUACAAGAGUAACUGCUUGUACCUUGACGGUACCUAACCAGAAAGCCACGGCUAACUACGUGCCAGCCGCCGCUGUAACAC
rnacentral:rRNA from 1 species